rnacentral:lncRNA from 1 species
AGAGAACGGGGUCGUGUCUGGCUGUAUUUUACGUGGCUGGGUGUAUUUCAGCUGAGGGAUGGGCUUGAAAGCAUCCACACAACGUAUGCUCUGGAGCAUGCCAAGACAUGACUGAGAGUUCCUGGAGUGGGAUGCCUUGGGAAGGGCUGGGACGUCUCCACCUGAGCAAGGAGAGAUCCCAGUGAGUGGACAAGGAACUUUUGAAGCUCGU